ACUCAAAUGAAUAGACGGGGACCCGCACAAGCAGUGGAGUAUGUGGUUUAAUUCGAAGCAACGCGAAGAACCUUACCAGGGCUUGACAUGCAGGUGAAAACACAAGAGAUUGUGAAUACCGUAAGGACACCUGUGCAGGUGGUGCAUGGUUGUCGUCAGCUCGUGUCGUGAGAUGUUGGGUUAAGUCCCGCAACGAGCGCAACCCCUGUAUUUAGUUGCCAGCACGUAAAGGUGGGGACUCUAGAUAGACUGCCGUAGAUAAUACGGAGGAAGGUGGGGACGACGUCAAAUCAUCAUGCCCCAUAUGUCCUGGGCGACACACGUACUACAAUGGCUAUUACAGAGGGAAACGAAACUGUAAAGUGGAGUGAAGCCAAAAAAAUAGUCUCAGUUCGGAUUGAAGGCUGAAAUUCGCCUUCAUGAAGUCGGAAUUGCUAGUAAUUGCAGGUCAGCAUACUGCAGUGAAUACGUUCCCGGGUCUUGCACACACCGCCCGU
rnacentral:rRNA from 1 species